AUUAAUCAUCAAAGUAGUAGUUUAGUUGUAGGAAUUAAGGUACGUUUACGAAUAGAAAACGUUUCCUAGUUUUCCUGUUUGCUUGUCAUAUGAGACGAAACGACUUUCAUUGUCCCAGGAGACAGACAGUAUAUUGGGCGAAUUGUGUGAAAUAUGCAACGGGAUUUAAUUUGGGAGACAAGCGGUAGUACCGCUUACGUGUAUGAUAUGAAAAAAAAAUUCCGAUGCACUUGACAACUGACGAAAGAAGUAGGAAAAGAAAAAUGACACUCCAUUGUAACUUUUUUUUUAGAAUUCGCAUCGAGUAGUUUUGUUGUAUAUCUGGAUUAAACACGCCGUACAAUGUAUGUAUGUAUAUAUAAUUACAAGUACACAUAAGUAUCGGUGUCCUAUGUUUACAUACAGUUACUGACUUCUAGAUGACCCUUUAGCUACACCGGCUGAAAAAUUAAAAACGCUUUCGUUUGAUUAGAUAAAAACCGCGCGAGAAAGUGAGAGGGGUUAGACGGUCAAUUAAUACAAGCUGUGGAUUUUACCACGAUAGUAACAGAAGAAAAGAAUCUAAUUAACAAUGGACGAGCAUCAACUUCCUAUUAUAUCUAACAUGUAGUGUUUUUGUGGACACGGAUGGAAUUUUUUUUUUAAAUUUCUAAUGACAUGCUUUAAAGACGUACAUCGUAAACAGUGCACAAAGGUAUGACAAUGUGUGUGUGAUUUCUAACGUAAGGAAACUAAUUGGAUUUUAAUUCACCAGGAUUCAAGCGUAUACAUCGAUUGUGGAAUUGAGAGAGAGAGAGACUGUGAUAUCCAAGCGCGCACACUGAUCAUAGUUCAGCAGACGACUCCAUGCAUUAACCCAAGACCAUGUAUUGGAUAGCCGUUCUGACUUUAACACCAAUGAUCGUUUCAUACACAUGGGCGGAUUUGGAUAUUUAUAGAGGGAAACUGUGCAGAUCUCAUCUUGGAUAUCAUGAAAAUGUCCAGGAUUUCAGACAAUAUUCCUGUGCCUGGUGUUUCCGUUUUGUGUUUCAUCUUAAAUACCGUCCACUUGUAAACUCCACCGGUCCUACGCCAGUGGUGGAUAUUUUUCACAAUGGUCGAAGGGUACGUUUUGAAUCUAUGGACUUCCGGAACCAGAGCGUUAAGGCGGAUGUGUGUGAUGUGCUGACGUCAGACGAAUGUCAUCAGUGGACUUCCUGUUGCGUGUCCGCUGAACGCUGUUGCCAGAGACAACUGUCUGUAGAGAAGAAGGGGACUAAUUCUUCUUGCGGAAGGGUCUGGGAUGGAUGGAUGUGCUGGGACGAUGCCGAGCCGGGAACACGGAGUUAUGGGUCAUGUCCAUUGUUUAUGCCCUUUUUUACACCAUCCCGACAGGCUUUUCGGACAUGUCAAACAAACGGAGAGUGGAUUCAACGGACAGAUUAUAACCCGUGUAUUAAAAAAGAGAUCGCUACGUAAGCAGCAUCGAAUUCGACUCCAUAUCAACCUGUUCUUGUCCUUUUUGUUGAAGGAGGUCAUGGACAUACUGUGGGACAUGUUAGUGACCUAUGACAAGGUCACAAGUACGACCGUGUUCGAAACCACUCUGAUGCAAAAUGGCGUGGGCUGUAAGCUGCUGUCGUUCCUAAAGAUCUACUUUAAGUGCUGUACUUACACCUGGAUGUUCUGUGAGGGGUUCUACCUCCACCGUCUCAUGUCCAACGCCUUCUCCCCGCCCCGGUCACUCAAGGUCAUGUAUGUGUUCGGCUGGGCCGCGCCCCUCCUGUCAUCGACGCUGUACGGCAUACUGAGGGGAAUCUUGAACAACGAAAGUUGUUGGACAUUUAGUUAUGAACGCUUAGAAUGGAUCUUCGAUGCACCAAAUGUCCUUUUCUUAUUUUUAAAUCUUGUAUUUUUGUCCAACAUUUUACGAAUCCUCCUGACUCAGAUGCAAACUCAUCCCAACGAGCCAGGAAACUUCAGGCGAGCAGUGAAAGCUACAUUUAUCUUAAUUCCUUUGUUCGGAAUCCAUCUGUUUUUUACACUGUACCGCAUACCGAUAAGUCAAGAGGGAGGCCAUGAAUACGAGAAAGUCUCGGUGAUAAUAAGCCAUACUCAGGGAUUAUUUGUUUCCAUGAUCUUCUGUUUCCUGAAUGGAGAGGUUAUUUCGAACAUCAAGAGAAGCAUACGACAUGGACGAAGCCGGUCCCUUUCUACGUCAAAACGGCUCAACCAGACCGACCAACAAACGCUCUCUAUCAGAUCCGAAUAUGACGUAGGAAAAAAUGGCGACCAGUGCUACAAAUCACUGAUAGUUCCUACCGAGGGAAAGGACGAGAUGGAACUCAAAGAGAAAUCCACCAAUGGCAGCCUUCUACACAACGGUCCUCAUGGAGAAACGUAGAACGUCAAACCAUUGGCGAUUCGUCCAAUAUAAACCAUGUGAUAUAAUGAUAUGUGACUCAGGGUCACGUGACGUACAUUUACAGAAACCCGGUGAUAUCGAAAUUACGUAGCCCCUUUUUGUACUCGUUGGUGGAGAAAUGUUUCAUGAAGCCGGUUAUUGCGACAGAACUGAUUGAUAUACUAGUAUGAUCUUACAUUGUAAUUUAGACCACAAGCAGAAAGUAAACCUUGUUAAAAUUC
rnacentral:misc_RNA from 1 species